UCGCCGCGCCGGGCUUGCCCGAGCGAGGCGAAGGCCUUGGCGAACGCCAAACAUGAGGAAGUAGCGACGCAAAAGCGUCGCGGGAUUCCGAAUGUUUGGAGCAUGGCGGGAGCGCGGAGCGCGAAGCCAUGCGGAG
rnacentral:sRNA from 1 species